CUACCUAAAAGAACUGCAAGGUUCCGUUUCCCGUCUUACAUCGCACGGAUCGUCAACCCCUCCAUCCACCCGUUUGCGUUCUUACCCACGUUGGUUUUCCGCUAAAAAAAGAUUGGACGUGAGUCAACGGGAUCUCGCUCUAUCUCUCUCGCUCCCAAACAAACCCCCGCCAAUCGUUUCCCCUGGCCCUACCCCUCCCGAUCUGGUCGCCACCACAAUCUCGCCACCGAAUCUGGCAUCACCAUCGAUGGCGAGAUUGUGGCGUUCAGAUCCUGUGAGCUCUUCCAAUCCUGUGAGCUGCUAUGAAUCCGCCCCCUGCUCUUCCAAUCCUGUGAGCUGCUGGCGAGAUCGGCAUCCAAAUCCGUCACCAUCGAUGGCGCUUUGUUCCCAUCCGAAACUUGCCACUUGCGAGGGACCAAGCCCGCCGAAGCGGGCGACCAAAGGAUUCGAAGCAGCUUCGCCCUUCGCCAUCGACCAUCGAGGAGGGCGUGGGCCUGAUCUCCUGGCCUUCCAGGGGUCACCGCCGUUGCGCUCGUAUCGUCAGGCCGCCGUAGCACCGAUUCGGUCACCGGCCAUGGCCCAAUCCUCUCCCUCUCAGUUCGUGCUCCCCCUACUUUUAUCUUCCAAUGUUUUGUUCUGCAGGUUUUUGAGGCCGGGUGCGGGCAUGCGACAACUCUCGACUCAGAGAGAUACUUUGGCUGUCCUGGGAUCAUGUCAUCCAACCAUCCAUGGAGUUUUCGAGCAAAGUCUCGGCCUCCGGCCGGAGCAUGACCUCCGCAAAGAUCGCGACGGACCGAAGCUCCAAGCAACUCCAGCGGCAUCUUCACGACGCUCGAGGACGGCGAUGAGCACCUCUCCGUGUCCUUCGUGACUACCUCACGCCCUCUACGCCGUCCCGCUCUCACCGGACACCAGAACCAGCCCCAUCGCCAGAUCUUCCCCAUGUUCGACCACGCUGCCCGUCUCCGGCGACCUAGUCGUCCAACUCCGAUGUAUCGUAAAGUGAAGGAGUGACGAUAACAAAUAGGGAAUCAACUUCAAGACUCAGGCAAGUUGCAUCUUGAUCAUAAUUUGUCCUACGCUUUUGAAAUAUGCAUGAUCUGUUUAAAAUUUAGUAUGCAUGUUUUAUUAAAAGGUUGCAAAGAAUUAUUGCUAGCUAGAGCCCUAGGAACUUGUAGCUAUGCUUAGACUUGCUUACAAACAAAAGGGUUGGGAAUCAAACAAGUUUUAAACAAAUAAACUUGCCUUCUUUUGCAGCAACAUUUUGUGAAAACUUUUGAGAAACAAAACUAUAUAGUAUUUUACUUCUACUCCCUGGGCAGAAUGGUAUUGACAGGAGCGUCUACAAGUGAUUGCGCCCAUUGGGGUCUUGCAGUGAAUGCGCCCGACUAGGGUCUUGCACACAGGCUUUUGGUGGGGACCGCCGUCCAGGGGACUGAGAUCUCCCAAGUAGAGUUUGAUGUAGCUUCUUGUACAGCCACAUGCUACUAAGGGCUUUGGCUUAGCUUAGUACUAACGGGAAACCCUACCCCAGGACCGCCAUCGGAGAGAGGCCUUCGUGCCGAAGUUGCGGGCGGCUUGGUUGGUAUAGGGGGCUGUUACGGACAGGCUUCAUCACAAUCUCCUCCUAGUCGUCCAGUCCACCCAAGUGUGUAACGAUAAACGGGGUUGAUUGUGUCGUGUGGGGAACGUGUACGACCUCUGUAGAGGGUUAAACCUAAUCGAUUAGUCGUGCCCCGAUUAAGGGCAAUUUUGAGCAACUUAAGACUUGGACUAACAAAGAAUGUGUUUCACUUCAACCCUAUGUGUGUUUUAAACUAAUUUUGGAGAAUGAGCUUUGGUGCAUAUAUCCAAAUGUCUCACUUCUAUCUGUAUACAAAAAAUAUUAUUUUGUUUUCAAAGAAAGUUUCAAAAUUUAGUAUCAGAGAAAAUUGGCUUUAUGCAAAGGAAACCUCCACCAAUACUCAACCUGCAUAUAUAUAUAUAUAUUCUGUUAAACCUUCCUUUGCAACUUGCGAGUACAUUCCACGUACUCACCUGCACCUGUCAUGUGCAGAUCUUGACAGAUUAAGAGACGAUAGGGUUAUGGUCUACACUCAACGAGCCCAGUGGCGUUGAUGGAGCCCUAACUUAGUGACUACGUAUAAUUUCGUUGUAUUAUGUGCCAGCAUUGAGCUGUGCCAAUGGUAUGUAUUUGCUUAGUUCUGGAUCUACCGGUCUAGUACAAUGAUGUAUGUUUUACUGAUAUUCAUUCUUGUUACUGUGUGUGCUAGCUACGAUCCAGGGAUAGCACAAUAAGCACAGAGACUUGGAUUCUACCAAAUCCGGGUCAUUACAAAUGGUAUUAGAGCAUACGUUGACUAUAGGACGUGGCCCUAGAAAAUGGCUUAGAAAUAGGAAGACCUUGAUAGGAAAAACUUAUAUUUUUAGUAGUUCCGGUAGGCAUUCUCAUACCCUCUGGUUUUCUUUAUUAAGUUCUAGUCUUCUUUCAAAAACUUAGAUGGCAACCUCUUACCCUCCAAUGACCUUGACACUGAUAUGAGCCUAAAGGUUACUUCAUGGAAAAGACGUCUCCAGUACUGAAGCUUACAUCCAAGAAGUUAAAGAAGGACUGAAGACACUAAGACCAAGAUGGUUGUGAAGGUUACCACUACAAAAGAAUAUCCCACAUAAUUCAAUAGUUUUCAAGCCCACCAUGAGAAUUGU